rnacentral:rRNA from 1 species
UACGGGGGGGGCAAGCGUUGUUCGGAAUUACUGGGCGUAAAGGGCUCGUAGGCGGCCAACUAAGUCAGACGUGAAAUCCCUCGGCUUAACCGGGGAACUGCGUCUGAUACUGGAUGGUUAGAGGUUGGGAGAGGGAUGCGGAAUUCCAGGUGUAGCGGUGAAAUGCGUAGAUAUCUGGAGGAACACCGGUGGCGAAGGCGGCAUCCUGGACCAAUUCUGACGCUGAUGAGCGAAAGCCAGGGGAGCAAACGGG